rnacentral:tRNA from 1 species
UAAUUUAAUUUUAAUGACAUGACAAAAAAUUGCCCCUAUAAUUUUACUUAUAUAUAAUUUUAAAAUUA